rnacentral:rRNA from 1 species
GACGAACGCUGGCGGCGUGCCUAAUACAUGCAAGUCGAGCGGACGGAUGGGAGCUUGCUCCCAGACCGUCAGCGGCGGACGGGUGAGUAACACGUGGGCAACCUGCCUGUAAGACUGGGAUAACUCCGGGAAACCGGGGCUAAUACCGGAUAACUCUUUCCCUCACAUGAGGGAAAGCUGAAAGAUGGCAUCUCGCUAUCACUUACAGAUGGGCCCGCGGCGCAUUAGCUAGUUGGUGAGGUAACGGCUCACCAAGGCGACGAUGCGUAGCCGACCUGAGAGGGUGAUCGGCCACACUGGGACUGGGACACGGCCCAGACUCCUACGGGAGGCAGCAGUAGGGAAUCUUCCGCAAUGGACGAAAGUCUGACGGAGCAACGCCGCGUGAGUGAUGAAGGUUUUCGGAUCGUAAAACUCUGUUGUCAGGGAAGAACAAGUACCGGAGUAACUGCCGGUACCUUGACGGUACCUGACCAGAAAGCCACGGCUAACUACGUG